UUGAACGCUGGCGGCAGGCCUCACCCAUGCAAGUCGAGCGGAUGAAGGGAGCUUGCUCCUGGAUUCAGCGGCGGACGGGUGAGUAAUGCCUAGGAAUCUGCCUGGUAGUGGGGGAUAACGUCCGGAAACGGGCGCUAAUACCGCAUACGUCCUGAGGGAGAAAGUGGGGGAUCUUCGGACCUCACGCUAUCAGAUGAGCCUAGGUCGGAUUAACUAGUUGGUGGGGUAAAGGCCUACCAAGGCGACGAUCCGUAACUGGUCUGAGAGGAUGAUCAGUCACACUGGAACUGAGACACGGUCCAGACUCCUACGGGAGGCAGCAGUGGGGAAUAUUGGACAAUGGGCGAAAGCCUGAUCCAGCCAUGCCGCGUGUGUGAAGAAGGUCUUCGGAUUGUAAAGCACUUUAAGUUGGGAGGAAGGGCAGUAAGUUAAUACCUUGCUGUUUUGACGUUACCAACAGAAUAAGCACCGGCUAACUUCGUG
rnacentral:rRNA from 1 species